GCCCGGUUAGCUCAGUUGGUAGAGCGCGGGACUUUUAACCCUGAGGUUGAGGAUUCAAGUCUCUCAUCGGGCG
rnacentral:tRNA from 1 species